rnacentral:rRNA from 1 species
GACGAACGCUGGCGGCGUGCUUAACACAUGCAAGUCGAACGGAAAGGCCCUGCUUUUGUGGGGUGCUCGAGUGGCGAACGGGUGAGUAACACGUGAGUAACCUGCCCUUGACUUUGGGAUAACUUCAGGAAACUGGGGCUAAUACCGGAUAGGAGCUCCUGCUGCAUGGUGGGGGUUGGAAAGUUUCGGCGGUUGGGGAUGGACUCGCGGCUUAUCAGCUUGUUGGUGGGGUAGUGGCUUACCAAGGCUUUGACGGGUAGCCGGCCUGAGAGGGUGACCGGGCACAUUGGGCCUGAGAUACGGACCAGACUGCUACGGGAGGCAGCAGGGGGGAAUAUUGCACAAUGGGCGGAAGCCGGAUGCAGCAACGCCGCGUGCGGGAUGACGGCCUUCGGGGUGUAAACCGCUUUCGCCUGUGACGAAGCGUGAGUGACGGUAAUGGGUAAAGAAGCACCGGCUAACUACGUG